rnacentral:rRNA from 1 species
UACGUAGGUGGCAAGCGUUGUCCGGAAUUAUUGGGCGUAAGCGCGCGCAGGCGGUCCUUUAAGUCUGAUGUGAAAGCCCACGGCUCAACCGUGGAGGGUCAUUGGAAACUGGGGGACUUGAGUGCAGAAGAGGAAAGCGGAAUUCCACGUGUAGCGGUGAAAUGCGUAGAGAUGUGGAGGAACACCAGUGGCGAAGGCGGCUUUCUGGUCUGUAACUGACGCUGAGGCGCGAAAGCGUGGGGAGCAAACAGG